GGAGAUGUGGCCUUAAGAAAAAAAGAAGAGGAAUGCAGACCCUUCUACCCAGGGUUGGAGAGGCCCUGCCUAAAAAGGAAUAAAGAGCUCUCAUCUCCCAACCUCAAUCAGGAUGUCAGAGAAACAGGCACGGUCUGAGGUAUCUCCUUACAGCAAGGAUAUUCUGAUGUCAGCCUCUGUAGAAGCUGAGUCUCGAACAGAGCCUUGAAAAAAGUGGGCCCAGCUGGGAAUCUCAGGAUCCUGAAAGGAGUGGAGUCCCAUUUUGGCCCCCUCACUGCUUCUGACAUACCCAGCCAGGUCAGAUCUCACAAAGCAAUCAGUAGUACCUGCAGUUCCCAACCUGGAAAACUGAAAACACGUUCCCCAGUAUGCUGCCAGCAGUAGCCAGCAAGAAGAGGCUCUGUAAUUACAGACAGGCAGGAGUUUGUCUUCCUGUUCUCACUCAUCUAUGAAACCCUUCCAUUCCCUUCAUUUCCCGUGGUGCCUGCCUUGAAAAAGGAAAUGUGAAACUGGGCCCGUCAGAAAACUGAGUUCCAAUUCCCUAGUCCUCCGUGGGCAGACAUUAGAACUUGCUAUGAUUCGAAUCCAUUCAAUCAUGUAUUCAUUCCUUCAUCCAAAAUACAUUUAAUAGCCCCCUGCCAGGUGCUAGCACUGGGCCAGCUGUUGGGAACACGCCUAAUGUGACCCAGGCCCUACUUUUGAAAAGCUCACAGUGUAGUAAGGAAGUUAAGGUAUAUGAUAUAAGUAGUCACAGGAAACAAUAGAAAAGUGAUGUGUAAUAAAGAAAGUGACGAUAAAAUUCUGGCUAAGAGAAAGAUAAUUUUGGAAAAGGUGGCUGUUUCUUGAGAGGUAAUAUAGUAUAGUGGCUGAGAGUACAAACUCUGGAGACACAGGCCUGGGUUCAAAGCCUGAUUUUGCCACUUAAUAACUGUGUGACCCAAAUGGAUAAAUGGGGAGAAUUUUGUGGUUAUUUUGAAGACAAGUGUAGUGUCCAGCACAUAUAUAGUAGAGCGCAAUACAUGUCAGCUGGUAUAAUCAGGGAAUGUGACAGAGUGUGGGUUUUCUGCUCAUGUGGAACAGGAGGGUAGAGCAUUCUAGAAGGAUAGGGGCACAGAAAGAAAAUGUGAUAUUUUUACAGAAUUCCCGUUGACUACAGCUUAGCCCGUUAGAAGGGAAGAAAGAGAUGAGGCCAGUAAAUUGGGUUGGGGUUGAACUUUGGAACACUGAAUGAAUGCCAAAAUGAACUUAAGGCGUAGUACAAUGACACAAACAAGCGUUAUAGGCCAGAGUACCCACCGAGCUCCAAGCAAUGGCCCUCAUCUUUAGAACCACGUUCUGUUGAACCAAACUUCAGGGUCUCCAAAGAUGGGGAGUCAGCCCUUGGGGCUUGGUGCAGUGUGUUGGCCUAUCUCCUGGAUUCUGCCCACCUGGAAAGGCUCGUUCCUUUCUCUCCAGCAGAUUGAGCCCUGGGAUUGGGGCUGAAGGAGAAGAUCCAUCUUCUUUCACAAGGAUGAGUGGAUGUGAGCAUCUCUGCCCACCAGAAGGGGCACAAAGGCUGGAAGAGACCUCAGGAAAGGUGGCUGAUGUGGAGAGAGGUGGGAGUGGAGGGUAGAUAAGGCCAGGCCAGGCUAAUUCGGCUGACAGUCCUUAUCACUAGCCUGUUUUCCUCUGGGGUUAUACAGAACCUCCUCAGUCUUAGUUGGGAGUAAGGAAGACUGAAAGCAAAGAUUUCAUCAAGCGCAAAACAAAUGAAGGAGAGGCCCUGCUGGGAGACUGCAAAUGGGGGCAAGAAUCGCAGAGAGUGAUUCCUAACUCAGGAGCGUUCUAACUCAGGGUGGGAUGAGGGGCCAGAUUGGGAGGCAACGUGACACAGGGCAAAGGGGAGAAUCAGGAGGCCUCUGUUCUUAUCCAGGCUGUGUCUCUCUUUGUGGACUUUGGGGAAGUCAUUUCCUCUUGGCCUCUGUUCCAUCUCAGUAAAACAAAAAGGUUUUCUAAUCAUCAGAGAAAUGCAAAUAAAAACCACAAGGAGA